rnacentral:tRNA from 1 species
CCUGGUUAAAGUCCUGGCAAGAAUU